UACGUAGGGUGCAAGCGUUUAAUCGGAAUUACUGGGCGUAAAGGGUGUGUAGGCGGUUCUUUUAAGUUUGGUGUGAAAUCUCCCGGCUCAACCGGGAGGGUGCGCCGAAAACUGAAGGGCUAGAGUGCGGGAGAGGAGAGUGGAAUUCCUGGUGUAGCGGUGAAAUGCGUAGAUAUCAGGAGGAACACCGGUGGUGUAAACGGCUCUCUGGACCGUAACUGACGCUGAGACACGAAAGCGUGGGUAGCAAACAGG
rnacentral:rRNA from 1 species